GACGAACGCUGGCGGCGUGCUUAACACAUGCAAGUCGAACGGAAAGGCCCUGCUUUUGUGGGGUGCUCGAGUGGCGAACGGGUGAGUAACACGUGAGUAACCUGCCCUUGACUUUGGGAUAACUUCAGGAAACUGGGGCUAAUACCGGAUAGGAGCUCCUGCUGCAUGGUGGGGGUUGGAAAGUUUCGGCGGUUGGGGAUGGACUCGCGGCUUAUCAGCUUGUUGGUGGGGUAGUGGCUUACCAAGGCUUUGACGGGUAGCCGGCCUGAGAGGGUGACCGGCGACAUUGGGACUGAGAUACGGCCCAGAGUCCUACGGGAGGCAGCAGUGGGGAAUAUUGCGCAAUGGGCGGAAGCCUGAUGCAGCAACGCCGCGUGCGGGAUGACGGCCUUCGGGUUGUAAACCGCUUUCGCCUGUGACGAAGCGUGAGUGACGGUAAUGGGUAAAGAAGCACCGGCUAACUACGUG
rnacentral:rRNA from 1 species